rnacentral:rRNA from 1 species
CCUACGGGAGGCAGCAGUGAGGAAUAUUGGUCAAUGGACGAGAGUCUGAACCAGCCAAGUAGCGUGAAGGAUGACUGCCCUAUGGGUUGUAAACUUCUUUUAUAUGGGAAUAAAAUGUUCCACGUGUGGGAUUUUGUAUGUACCAUAUGACUAAGUAUCGGCUAACUCCGUGCCAGCAGCCGCGGUAAUACGGCGGAUCCGAGCGUUAUCCGGAUUUAUUGGGUUUAAAGGGAGCGUAGGUGGAUUGUUAAGUCAGUUGUGAAAGUUUGCGGCUCAACCGUAAAAUUGCAGUUGAAACUGGCAGUCGUGAGUACAGUAGAGGUGGGCGGAAUUCGUGGUGUAGCGGUGAAAUGCUUAGAUAUCACGAAGAACUCCGAUUGCGAAGGCAGCUCACUGGACUGCAACUGACACUGAGGCUCGAAAGUGUGGGUAUCAAACAGGAUUAGAUACCCCUGUAGUC